GAUCCUGGCUCAGAUUGAACGCUGGCGGCAUGCUUUACACAUGCAAGUCGAGGGGCAGCGGGGUGUAGCAAUACACCGCCGGCGACCGGCGCACGGGUGAGUAACGCGUAUGCAACUUGCCUAUCAGAGGGGGAUAACCCGGCGAAAGUCGGACUAAUACCGCAUGAAGCAGGGAUCCCGCAUGGGAAUAUUUGCUAAAGAUUCAUCGCUGAUAGAUAGGCAUGCGUU
rnacentral:rRNA from 1 species